CUUUGUCUAUAUGCCUUUUGUAUUUCCUUUUUCCACAUGACGUGGCUCUGUACUUAACCAUCACGUCAUUGUGUUAUUGUUAUAAUAAUUUUUGUAUAUUUUAGAUUUCAUUUUUGCUAAUAUGGUUUGUCUUUAUGCCUUUUUUUUUGUUUCUAUGAUACAUAUGAUGUGGCUCUACAUUCCUUUAUUGAGUUAUUAUGCC
rnacentral:lncRNA from 1 species